UAGUAGGGAGGAUCAGGGUGCCAGCCGUGCCCUAUUCUGAAACCGGCUAUAUGCAGAGAUCAGCAACUGCUGGGUAAAUCUCUAGGCAGGUAACUCCCGCUUGGUGUGCGGAAAUGAAUUCACGCCGAGGCGGGUGGUUGCAGGACAAGGAUAAUCCGAAGGGAUUUUUCCUAAGACCGAACCAUCGAAAGGGAUGAGGUCCGGGAGGGAGCAAUCCUAAGAUGGAGCAUCCACGCUUCCUCGUCUACGUGGGGGAUCUUGUAUGCCUCGAAAUGGGACUAUCAGCCUAGAUUGGAGCCAGCAGAACUACUA
rnacentral:SRP_RNA from 1 species